GCUAUUCACACGCUUCAGUUCACAACUUCCAUCCAGAAUCCUACUUCUCUGAUUGUCCUCAUGGGGAAAGUAUGCUAUUUCCUUCAUCCUACAAGAUGCUUCUCACUGACUCUAUCCAUAUUCUUCUCAUCCUUCAAGAGCCAAGUCAAAUCUCUCUGCUUCCAAUAAGCCUUCCUUGCUACACUCAGAGUCUUGCUCUGCCACGCAGGCUGGAGUACAGUGGCACGAUCUCAGCUUACUGCAGCCUCUGCCUCCCAAGAAAUGGAAUGAAUCCCCAAGAUGGCUUAAGGAUGCCCUUCUGUUUUGGAAUGCUUUCUCUUGGUGUAUAUCAAGGUUGGUUCAGUUUACCAGAGAAAAGAUGCCAGGGUCUCAUUCUGUCACCCAAGCUGGAGUCCAGUGACAUGGUCACAGCUCACUGAAGCCUCAACCUCCUUGGCUCAAGCAAUCCUUUCACCUCAGCCUUCUAAGUAGCUAGGAGCACAGCUCUACAUCAAGGGUCAGGAAUAUAAAGAAGAGAAGUGGCCAUUUUCUUAAUCCAGUCUAUCAUUGUUGGACAUUUGGGUUGGUUCCAAGUCUUUGCUAUUUGUCAUAAAGAAGAAUAUUUGAAGCUCUAUAAAUAUGUUGCUUUACGUGGCAAAAAGGACUUUACAGAUCUGAGUACACUGGAUUAUCUGGGUGGGCACAAUGUAAUCACAAGGGGCUUUCUAAGAAGGAAGAAGGAGGGUUCAAGGCAGAAAAACCGGAAGAAGUUAUAACAUUGGCUUUGAAGAUGGAAGAUGGGGACACAAGUCAAGGAAUUCAGGUGGCCUCUAGAAGCCUGAAAAGUCAAAGAAAUGAAUUCUCCCCUAGAGCCUCAAGAAGGAACACAGCCCUGCUGACAGCUUGAUUUUAGGAUUUCUGACCUCCAGACUGUAAGAGAAUUAAUUUAUAUCAUAUAAGUCACUAAGUUUGUGGUAAUUUGUUAAUCAACAAUAGUAAAUUAAUACAGACUACCUUUAGUUUCAUAAGUAAAAAUAUCCUC
rnacentral:lncRNA from 1 species